GACGAACGCUGGCGGCGUGCCUAAUACAUGCAAGUAGAACGCUGAAGGAGGAGCUUGCUUCUCUGGAUGAGUUGCGAACGGGUGAGUAACGCGUAGGUAACCUGCCUGGUAGCGGGGGAUAACUAUUGGAAACGAUAGCUAAUACCGCAUAAGAGUAGAUGUUGCAUGACAUUUGCUUAAAAGGUGCAAUUGCAUCACUACCAGAUGGACCUGCGUUGUAUUAGCUAGUUGGUGGGGUAACGGCUCACCAAGGCGACGAUACAUAGCCGACCUGAGAGGGUGAUCGGCCACACUGGGACUGAGACACGGCCCAGACUCCUACGGGAGGCAGCAGUAGGGAAUCUUCGGCAAUGGACGGAAGUCUGACCGAGCAACGCCGCGUGAGUGAAGAAGGUUUUCGGAUCGUAAAGCUCUGUUGUAAGAGAAGAACGAGUGUGAGAGUGGAAAGUUCACACUGUGACGGUAUCUUACCAGAAAGGGACGGCUAACUACGUGCCAGCAGCCGCGGUAAUACGUAGGUGGCAAGCGUUAUCCGGAUUUAUUGGGCGUAAAGAGAGUGCAGGCGGUUUUCUAAGUCUGAUGUGAAAGCCUUCGGCUUAACCGGAGAAGUGCAUCGGAAACUGGAUAACUUGAGUGCAGAAGAGGGUAGUGGAACUCCAUGUGUAGCGGUGGAAUGCGUAGAUAUAUGGAAGAACACCAGUGGCGAAGCGGCUACCUGGUCUGCAACUGACGCUGAGACUCGAAGGCAUGGGUAGCGAACAGG
rnacentral:rRNA from 1 species